rnacentral:rRNA from 1 species
GACGAACGCUGGCGGCGUGCUUAACACAUGCAAGUCGAACGGAAAGGCCCUGCUUUUGUGGGGUGCUCGAGUGGCGAACGGGUGAGUAACACGUGAGUAACCUGCCCUUGACUUUGGGAUAACUUCAGGAAACUGGGGCUAAUACCGGAUAGGAGCUCCUGCUGCAUGGUGGGGGUUGGAAAGUUUCGGCGGUUGGGGAUGGACUCGCGGCUUAUCAGCUUGUUGGUGGGGUAGUUGCUUACCAAGGCUUUGACGGGUAGCCGGCCUGAGAGGGUGACCGGCCACAUUGGGACUGAGAUACGGCCCAGACUCCUACGGGCGGCAGCAGUGGGGAAUAUUGCACAAUGGGCGGAAGCCUGAUGCAGCAACGCCGCGUGCGGGAUGACGGCCUUCGGGUUGUAAACCGCUUUCGCCUGUGACGAAGCGUGAGUGACGGUAAUGGGUAAAGAAGCACCGGCUAACUACGUG